GCUGGGUGUGGUGGCGCACGCCUGUAAUCCCAGGUACUCAGGAGGCUGAGGCAGGAGAAUCCCUUGAACCCAGGAAGCAGAGGUUGCAGUGAGCUGAGAUUGCGCCACUGCACUCCAGCCUGGGCAACAAAGUGAGACUCUGUCUCAA
rfam:Homo sapiens chromosome 21, GRCh38 reference primary assembly.